rnacentral:lncRNA from 1 species
GAAUAUUCAACUGAAGUGUGUGAAUGAAGAAUAUUGAAAUAUAAGACAAUGUCCAAAGUGCAUACACGUAUUCUCGUGAAAAUAAAAAUAAAAGUAUAAAAUAUCAUAUAUAACAUAUAUCGAAUUUCUAUUUACCCUUUAAUUUUCUGAUGUUCAAUAUUCAUGAGCUUUGUAGAUUUAAUUGUCUCUGUUUCAUUUGACUGUGACUUUUAGCGGAUAAUUGGACAUAAUGAUCAACAAUAUCAAGCUGCGAGCCUUCUUUGUAGAUGAUUUACUUCGUCGACUAGAAGUUGACCGGCGUAGCAUAUCGAGAAUGUGCCAAAGACGCAAGUUAUUUGCAGGACAAUAUAAGCUAUUAUAGCCAUGGCAUCGCUGUCUUCCCAUUCCUAAAAGACAAUACGUUACUGAAAUUACCAUCACUUUCGAUAUGAUGAAUCGAAUCUUUCAUUCGUACCACGAUUAUGCAGUAACCAAGUACACACGUAAUUGAUACACCGACGAUCAUUUCGAUAAAAUAAACGUAGGGUACGAAUUGAUCAACGUAAUUGUAAAAUCUGAAAACAAAGUUUGGAUCACAUUGCAUUGUAAUUCUUUCUAAUCCAUACAAUUUAACACAUUUUAUCCCCUUUCUUCAAAAAGAUGAAGAUACUCACUCUUUGAUCCGCGUCUGAUACUGAACAAUGAACACGAUCUUCUCCUGCACAACACGUUCAUCUUUAUCAUUCGUCAGUUCCAUCACCUUGUUCGUCAAAAUCCUCAACAAACCACACAUGUGCAUGCACAGCAUCAAACAAGAACUCUUCACGCCGCACAGAGCUGUGUAAAUGAUAAAUCCGCCGAGAAUUUGGAGAGUGAAGAUUAUCUCGUAGUUCGGUGUGAUUUGAACGUUCAAGGAGCCAAAGUAACCCGGACAGGGCAACAAUCUUAUGGUCACGUUGUUAGGUAAAACGAUUCUACCUUUCGAAAGUGGAAGAAUCAACCUGUAAAAGAAACCUCCACCGUAUAUAGUGAUGGCUAUUACCGUCGUCAGCUUGUGCUCGAUGGACGCCCUCGCGCUAAAAAUUGUCGAUUCUCCUGCGUGGCUGUCGACCAAUCCUUCUUUAUCUCGUCCAAUAAUUUGCCAAGUUCCUUCGUUCGCCGUAAUAUAAUCGUGUACUUAGUCAUUUGUGCGAUACUGUUGAUGUGUGGCAUCAACAUUUUGACCUUUCUCCUUCCAUUCCUCUCUUUCAGAAAUACGUACAGAAGGCCUGGAAUCAAGACUACCAAUGGCAGCAAAUACGAGAAAAAAAUUGUAAAGGAGUUUAAAAUUUUGGAAAACGCGGAAGAGGGGGCGCUCAAUGGCCAAUAGCCAAGCAUUCUCGAGAGCGGAUAUGCGAACCAAAAGAAAAGUUUUACGAACUUUAUAAAGUGAAUGAUUAUGAUCGUAGCGUGCACGAUGUGGAAAAAGCUAGUAUUCAUUGAAAAUGAGUUUUUUUUUUCAUAAUUAUGGUUCAAUUAUUGAAACUUUACAUUAAAAUUGAAGGAAAAUACAAUGAAAAAGAUUCAAAAAUCUUACAGAAGAGUGAAUGUGUAUUACAUUUGAGAAGAAACACUUAAUAUUGCAAUCAUUCAAGUGCUCAAGUGUAUCAUGCACCUCAUUUUGUAACAAUAAUUUGUUAAUAUAUAUAUAUAUAUAUAUACAGAUGCUUAAAUUGUCACAGUGGUAGACAUUCCAAUUACAUCUCGUUUACCUUUUGAUCUUCGUUUGAUAUUCCACGAUAUCCACAAACUUCUCUUGCAUGAUAUUCUCGUUGGUAAUCGAUCCAUCCGCGAGAUCGACCAAUUUUUUCGAUAAAAUCUUCAAUAAACUACACAUAUGGAGAGAAAGCAUCAAGGAAAUUCCGAUGGUGCCACUGAGAACUGUAUAAAUGAAACAUCCAGCCAGAAGUUGCAGUAUAAAGAUCAUCUCGUAGUAUGGGCUAACUAAUUCGUUAAAAAAGGUAAAGUAAGUUGGACAGGGGAGUAGUCUUAUGGUAACGUUAUUCGGCAGAAUAAUUUUCCCCUUCAAAAGUGGAAGAACCAUUCGAUAACCGAGACCGCUGGCGUACAUGGUGACAACUAUUA